GUCAUGUGGAACUGUGAGUCCAUUAAACCUCUUUUUCUUUAUAAAUGACCUAGUCUUAGGCAUAUCUUUAUUGGCAGUGUGACAAUUGUGACACAUGUGACAUUGUGACAAUGACAAGCUUUAUUGACAGCUUCCCUUGUCUGUACUCUUACCUUCCUCCCUUCAAAAGCACCCUCUCUUUCUUUUCCAACCUUGACAUCUCAAGUAAUCUCUGCAGUGGGUGUGGCAUCCACAUAAGACAGGAUGCAGACAUGUCUCCAAGCAGCUUCAAACAAAACUUCAAGAAAGAAAGUGCAAGUGAAGAAGGAAAUUCAUCCUUCCCGUCACUUAACACAGCACUGUCACGGACAUCUUGUGUCCCCUUAAAAUUCAUACACUGAAGUUCUAAGCCCCAGUACCCCAGAAUGUGACCUUCUUUGGAAAUAGGGUCAUUGCAGAUAUGAUUAGUUAAGAGGAGAUCAUACUGGAGUGGGCUGUAAUCCAAUAUGACUGGUGUUAUGUAAGGGGGAAAUUUGGACACAGACACACACACACACAAGGAGAACACCAGGUGAACUGAAGUCAAAGAUUUGGGUGAUGCUUCUACAAGCCAAGAAACACCAAAGAUGACCAGCAAAGCAUCAGCAGCUGGAAGAGGAGCCUGGACCAGAUUCUUCCUCACAGCCCUCAAAAGGAACCAAUCUUGCUAGAGCUUUGACUUAGAUUUCUAGCCCCCUGUGAUUGUUGAUGUUAAGUGUCAACUUGAGUGGGUUAAGGGACGCCCAGAUAGCUGGUAAGACAGUAUGUCUGUGUGCAUCUCUCAUAGUGUUUCUGGAUAAGAUCAGCAUUUGAAUCCUUAAAGAAGAUCUGCCCCCACCCACGUGCAUCACCCAGUCUCUAGAGAGCCCAAACAAAGAGGAGGAAGGGCACAGAUGCUCCCUCUGUUCCAGCUGGCACAUCCAUCUUCUCCUGCCCCCUGACUUCAGAGCUCCUGGUUCUUGGGCCUCAGGAUUCCUCAGGAUUCCAGCACUUACAUGACAGCAUGCUUCCCCCUCCCCACUCCACCCCUAGGGUCUCAGCCCUUUGGCCUCUGACUGAAUUCCACCACCAGUAUUUCAGAGUCUCCAGCUUGCAGACAGCAGAUCAUGGGACUUCUUGGCCUCCAUAAUUAUGUGAGCCAAUUCCCAUAAUCUAUCUAUCUAUCUAUCUAUCUAUCUAUCUAUCUAUCCAUCUAUCUUUCUCUCUUUCUCUCUCUCUCUCUCUCUCCUAUUGAUUCCGUGUCUCUGAAGAACCCUAAUACACCUCCAGAACUGUGAGACAAUAAAUUUCUGUGGUUUAAGCCACCUGGAAGGUGGUACUUUAUUUCACCAGGCCUAGCAAACUAAUACAAGCACAUGGAAAGUGUCUACUCAUGACUACAACUCAGAGAACAAGCGUUAUAAUAAAAAUAAAAGUGUUACACAGAGGUGGCAAGAUAAAUGACAAUAAAUGAAAACAUUAACAUGUGAAUUAAAAGUAAAGAUAUUUUUCCUAGCAUUCUCCUAGAAAGUAGAGAUGUGUCUCUCUUGUUUGCCAUCAUAUCCAGCAAUGGCAAGAUAAGUUCUAGACACUUAAUAAAAAUGUGUUGAAUGUAAGAAAUUACAUUUGUUGGAUGUAAGAAAGAACAUUCCAUGGUUCUCUAUUAACCAGAUCUUCUAUGCAUGGCUCAAAUGCAAGCUCCAUAGAGUCUACUUAGAACUGAAAAGGACCCGAGAGAAAGUUUUGUCUGAUCUUUUCACUUCACUUAUGGAAACACGGAGGUUUACCGAGGCUGUGCCAGAUCCGGGAUCCCUGCUUGCUCAUGGCACAUAUGGUACUAUUACAGAAGGCUGAUUCAGAGGUCUUUUAACUUUUUAUUACACUGCCUUUCUAUAGUAAUCAAUUGAAUACGGCCCCUGGGGCUUGACAAAAUUUUUAAAGGCUUUCUCAAGUCUCCAAGAAUGAUUAUAUUUAACAGCAGACAGACUUCACGUGGGCAAACAUUUAAUGCUCACUAAAUAGCCGCGCACUUUCCUAGAUUUUCUGGCCUCCUUACAGUCAGGCCAGGGCAUGUGACUCAUUUUGUUCCAUAGACUGUAGACACAAGCCUCACUUCUGGGCCAAGGCAAAGAGAAGACCUUCAUGACACUGAACUUGCCCGUCCCCAUCCCAGUGAUAGAACCACAUAUGGAGGUGGUGGGACCACCAAAUGGAGUCCGCUGGAUCUGUGGCUUGCCCACUGGAACCCUUCCUAAGCAUCUCUUAACGGCCAACCUUCAUCUCAAGAGCCUAUUUCCCAGGGAACCUGACCUGAGACAGUAAGAUGGGGAAAGUGAGGUCCAGCAAGACUGCAGAAGAAGAGAAUCAUAAAACAUUUUCCUGACAAUAGAUUGUCUGACUUGGUAGGACCAGCAGGUUUUAUGGAUAAAGGUGGCAGGUGGGCUGGAGCAGGAAUGGACAGAGCCUUGGAUGUCACCUAAGAAUGGAAAGUUCUGGGGGAUGGUGGGAAUAAAAAUAAGAAUAGGGGCUAUAGAGACCCUUUGUGGACUGAAACAUACUUAAAAGCCCCUUUAGAGAUCAUUUUGUCUCAUUGCUGUGUGUUUCUAAGUAUUUGACUUUUAUUCUGCUAUUAUUUUAAAUGCUCCUAACCUUAGAUAAUUCAAUCUUCUUAAAAUACAUACAGUACUUAAAAACUUCUCUCUCUCUCUCUUUCUCUUUCUACACACACACACACACAAACACACACACACACACACCAUCGCCACCCCCAUCAACAACAAUAACAAACGCAAACACUCUCAUCAAAUCCCCAUGCCUUGACAGCCUGGAAGAUUUCUCAUACUCUUUUAAACUUCAGUGCACCACUGACACCUCUAGUAACAUUUCUGUCACCCCGCUGGGUUAGCCAAUCUUUCUGCUGAGUUGUGCUCACACCACUUUUAUUACUCUCUUAUUAUAUUAUUUGUAUGUUUGGCAUUAGACGUGAAAGAAUGUAAUAUUCCAAUGAAAGAAUGCAAAUUCCUCUUUCUCCUUUCCCCAUCUUGCACGUGUAUGAAGAUCUCUAUUCAUCUGUCUUCUCCUUCCUUCUCUCAUUUCACAUCUUUGUGUGAAAGUUUGGUCUAUUGGGUUGUAUUUCUGAGAACAUAUUCUUAUCAGAGGAUCACAGGGCAAGGCCACAAGCCACUUCCUCCAAAGAAGACAUGCACUCACAGUUUCUCAUCAUCAAGAGGGGAGCAGGCUUCAUGGAUUGAAACAAACAAAUAACAACAACAAAUAAAACCCAGAAACUCAGAAGCUGAGUCCCAGGCAGUUUGGAAGGAAGAAGGACAAACCAUCUCCCUGAGCUUGGUUUGGGCUUGGCCGCCAAAGUCAGUAUGUUUCAUCAAGAUCUAGCUAUGCGCGCGGUCAUGUCAGUUAGACUCCCUCCGCUCCAGCUAUAAAAUAAGGGAUGAUUACACUCCUCUUAUAUGGUUUCUCUGAGCAUUUAAAAUAAAAAUUAGUCAAAGCACUUAACACCAUACUUGCCAUGCCUGCUUCAGGGCUCACAAAUUGUUAGCUGCUAAAAUAUGCUCUCUACCCUCAAGGGCCAUAUAGUUUAAGAGAAGAAUCGUGUGUCCACUGGUAGGAGGCAUAGGCACAUUCCCCCAAAACCGAGAUUAUUGUGACUCUAUCAGUUGUAGAGCCACCCCCACGGAGAAUGUAAAUCUUGGUCAAUAUUGUGAAAUGGGACUAUGAAGUCCAAAUGCCUUAACCCCUACUGAAAUUGUAUCUCCAUCAUUAGCCUUAGACAAUCUGAAUGUUACUUGUUAUGGGAUCAUUUUGGUUAGGACUGGCUAAUCUGUGUUACAGUAACAAGUAAUCUCAAAAGGUGAACUGUCCCAUACAUGCUGUUUGCUAUGACCAUGUUUGUCUCUUCAAUACUAUCCUCCCAAUAAG